GCCUGGGUGGCUCAGUCGGUUGAGCGUCCGACUUCGGCUCAGGUCAUGAUCUCACUCAUGGUCUGUGGGUUUGAAUCCUGCAUCGGGCU
rnacentral:tRNA from 1 species